rnacentral:rRNA from 1 species
AUAUUGGUCAAUGGGCGCAAGCCUGAACCAGCCAUGCCGCGUGCAGGAUGACGGUCCUAUGGAUUGUAAACUGCUUUUGUACAGGAAGAAACACUCCCUCGUGAGGGAGCUUGACGGUACUGUAAGAAUAAGGAUCGGCUAACUCCGUGCCAGCAGCCGCGGUAAU